rnacentral:rRNA from 1 species
UGGGGAAUAUUGCACAAUGGAGGAAACUCUGAUGCGGCAACGCCGCGUGGAGGAUGACGCAUUUCGGUGUGUAAACUCCUUUUAUAAGGGAAGAUAAUGACGGUACCUUAUGAAUAAGCACCGGCUAACUCCGUG